CAUAGCCACAGCUGUCAUCUAAGCGAGAACGACUGCGUUGCACUGUGUUAAGCUCGAGAUGCUUGUAUUCGUUGAAUAUGAAGUGGACAUGACCACUGCGGUUGUCAGGCACACCGCAGUGCAAAACUUUAACCCAGAGAAUGUCGUGGAUUUCGAUCCAAUUGUCCUCUACGACGUGUGGUGGAACGGCGAUGCGACAGAGUGCUGCACAUGGCUGAAACUGAAGAAAUGGUGCUGCACACGUCGAAAAGGCUCAGAAAUCUGUCCUUAGAAAAGGGCAAGAGCACCAAAGGAAUUAUAACUGCCAUGGCCUCUAUGGCACCUUUGUCACAGGAGCAUGGUGUAUGCUGGAUCCGGGCAAUGAAUAGAAAAGGCUGCUUGGGGGACAUUGUUGCGGUCUACGUCUGACUAUGUUCUGCCAUAUGGCGUCCACAACGUAUUGGAUGCCAGAUGAGCUUAAGAACAGAAGCGUGACCGGGACUUUGUCCAACAAGUCGCGAUCCAAGGGAAGGACUGAGGCCAGACCAGCCGUGACACCACAAAAGUUGUCAUCCUUGAAAAGCCUCCUCCGGAUCUUCAUGGGCAACCGUGUCAUGCCGGAAGACGAGAAAAAAAAAGAUUGAAAGAAGUGCGCAGGCAAUUGGUGCAGAAACUCGCUGACGCGCCAAGAAGGUA